AGUGAACGCUGGCGGUAGGCCUAACACAUGCAAGUCGAACGGCAGCACAGGAGAGCUUGCUCUCUGGGUGGCGAGUGGCGGACGGGUGAGGAAUACAUCGGAAUCUACUCUGUCGUGGGGGAUAACGUAGGGAAACUUACGCUAAUACCGCAUACGACCUACGGGUGAAAGCAGGGGACCUUCGGGCCUUGCGCGAUUGAAUGAGCCGAUGUCGGAUUAGCUAGUUGGCGGGGUAAAGGCCCACCAAGGCGACGAUCCGUAGCUGGUCUGAGAGGAUGCACAGCCAAACUGGAACUGAGACACGGUCCAGACUCCUACGGGAGGAAGAAGUGGGGAAUAUUGGACAAUGGGCGCAAGCCUGAUCCAGCCAUACCGCGUGGGUGAAGAAGGCCUUCGGGUUGUAAAGCCCUUUUGUUGGGAAAGAAAUCCAGCUGGCUAAUACCCGGUUGGGAUGACGGUACCCAAAGAAUAAGCACCGGCUAACUUCGUGCCAGCCGCCGCGGUAA
rnacentral:rRNA from 1 species